rnacentral:RNase_P_RNA from 1 species
GGCGGAGGGAGGGAGGUCGCGGGCCGGCUUCGAGCGAGUCUCGAGGUGCGGUUCGAGGAAAGUCCGGGCUCCGCAGGGCACGGUGCCGGGUAACGCCCGGGCGCCGCAAGGCGACGGAAAGUGUCACAGAGAGCAGACCGCCGAUGGCGGCUUCGGCCGCACAGGCAAGGGUGAAAAGGUGGGGUAAGAGCCCACCGCGCCGCUGGAGACAGCGACGGCACGACAAACCCCACCGGGAGCAAGGCCAAAUAGGGAGCGAGCGGUGGCCCGCCGCGCUCGAGCUCCGGGUAGGCCGCUAGAGGCGCCGGGCAACCGGUCGCCCCAGACAGAUGAUCUCCGCGCAGCGCCUACGCGUUGCGUCACAGAACCCGGCUUACGCCCCUCCGCCCUCU